rnacentral:lncRNA from 1 species
GAUUAUUUCAGAAAUGUUUGUGGAAGAGCCUUUUUCUAAUUAAAUUUUUCUAAAUAAAUUUUCUAUUAAAUUUAUGCAAAACCCACAAGUUUCUUGAGAGUUGUAUAUUAGCAGAAACUCUGCCACUUUAGACUAAAAGGAAAAGGAUAGGAAGAAUAAGAAAAGAAAGAAGGCUCCUGGACCUCUAAACUUCUACUGACAGAAAAUUAUUUGAUCAAACUCAGCUGCAUGCCUGUGUCAACUUUCAUGAAAAUGGAAGCAAGCCUCAGAGUGAAACCAAGAGCCCAGAAUAUUGACUUCAGAGGCAACUAUCCCCUGUACCUCAUCACUCUGUUGGAUCUCUGAACAGACAUCAUCCUUAAAAUCCCAUUUGUACCAUUUGGAUCAGGUCAGGAAGAGUAAUAGCUCUAAUCUUCUUGGAGUGAUAUUAUUAAUCUUGAGCAGUGAGUCAGCAGAGAAUAUGAUGCUGGAGUAGAUCCACAUAUAGAAGAUGUGGGUGAAAAUAUUUAAAAGUUUCAAGGAUACCACAAUCACUCCAUUAUCAUAUUUGAGACAUCUCUGUUGGUAACUGCGGGGAGCCGAGAAGAUACAAGAAGCCGAGGAAGGGAGCUUGCCUGAACGGUGCAAUUCUGAGAGCAGUCUCCUAAUCAGAAAAAGAGGCCUGCCUGAAAGGUCCAGUUCCGAGGACAAGCUCCUACUCAGGAAAAGGGGCCUGUCUGAACAGUACAAUUCCGAGGGCAGGUUCCUAAACAAGGGGAUGCCUGCCUGUACGGCACAAUCCCGAGGACAGGCCCCAGAAGACAGUAAGGCUUGCCUGCUGACAAAGGUGGAAAACUAAAUUUCCCAGGAAAUAAUUUCCAUUUUGUGUUGCUGAGUGGGGAUUGUUCCAUGGAUAACUUAGUCUUUUCUGUUAUUCACUUGCUAUUCAGUUUUCCUCAGUCUUUCCUGAUUAUUUACUUAUUAUUCUUAUUUCCCAUUCUUAUUUUCCUGUGGUGAUUUGUGAUUUAACAAAAUUAAACAAUAAUAUAAUAAGAAUUUCAUCCUGAAGGACUUUCCCCUAUUUUAAUCCAACUUAGUUAAAACACAGUGUUUAUCUAUUAACUAGUUACAUAGUAAACUUUAGAGUUAGGAUCUUAAUGAGGUUCAUAAAAGUUAGAUAUGUAUUAUCCAAAAAAAUCUAGCUAUGAGUUUUGUCCUUGAUUUUAAAAGCUUUUAAGUGAUAGCUAGUUUAGUUAAGUUGGUUUAUAUUUACUUACACUAUCUCCCUGCCAUAACGCUUUGAAGAUAAGCAUCAGUCUACAAAUAAGGUUUGUGAAUGCUAAAUUCUUGUGUCUGUGAACUCUUCAAAUUGUAAAGACUGGCUAGCCAUGGGAUGAUUUGUACUGUCUCCUCCUUUACACACGAUGUAUUGUACCUAAUUGCCCUUAAAUUGUACUCACUAAGUUUAGUUAAGAUAGAGAUCUUAAAACAGGAUGUAUUGUACCUAACUGCCCCUAAAUUGUACCCGCUAAGUUUAGUUAAAACAAAGAUCUUAAAACAUGAUGUAUAGCUGCUAUACCAUGUAAUAGUUAACCACUGUACUUUUAACACUGUGAUGUAAUCUGUAGCAAAAAGCUCUCUAUAUAAUCAACCACUUAUGCCAAUAAAAUUUGAUCAGUCCAGCACCCUGAAAGAAGG